rnacentral:rRNA from 1 species
UAGUAAGCCUUUGAAUACUGGGAAACUUGAGUGCAGGGAGAGGAGAGUGGAUUCCUAGUGUAGCGGUGAAAUGCGUAGAUAUUAGGAGGAACACCAGUUGCGAAGGCGGCUUCUGGGACUGUAACUGACACUGAGGCACGAAAGCGUGGGGAGCAAACAGGAUUUAGAUACCUGGUAGUCCACGCCGUAAACGAUGAGUACUAGCUGUCGGAGGUUACCCCCUUCGGUGGCCAGCUAACGCAUUAAGUACUCCGCCUGGGAAGUACGCUCGCAAGAGUGAAACUCAAAGGAUUGACGGGGACCCGCACAAGUAGCGGAGCAUGUGGUUUAAUUCGAAGCAACGCGAAGAACUUACCUAAGCUUGACAUCCUUCUGACCUCUCCUUAAUCGGGGAUUUCCCUUCGGGGACAGAGUGACAGGUGGUGCAUGGUUGUCGUCAGCUCGUGUCGUGAGAUGUUGGGUUAAGUCCCGAACGAGCGCAACCCUUGCCUUUAGUUGCCAGCAUUAAGUUGGGCACUCUAGAGGGACUGCAGGGAUAACCUGGAGGAAGGUGGGGAUGACGUCAAAUCAUCAUGCCCCUUAUGCUUAGGGUACACACGUGCUACAAUGGGUGGUACAGAGGGCAGCCAAGUCGUGAGGCGGAGCUAAUCCUUAAAGCCAUUCUCAGUUCGGAUUGUAGGCUGAAACUCGCCUACAUGAAGCUGGAGUUACAGUAAUCGCAGAUCAGAAUGCUGCGGUGAAUGCGUUCCCGGGUCUUGCACACACCGCCCG